CAGCCGCCGCGGUAAUACCAGCCCCGCGAGUGGUCGGGACGGUUAUUGGGCCUAAAGCGCCCGUAGCCGGCCCGGCAAGUCCCUCCUUAAAGCCUCGGGCCCAACCCGAGGACGGGGGGGAUACUGCCGGGCUAGGGGGCGGGAGAGGCCGGCGGUACUCCCGGGGUAGGGGCGAAAUCCGUUAAUCCCGGGAGGACCACCAGUGGCGAAGGCGGCCGGCUGGAACGCGCCCGACGGUGAGGGGCGAAAGCCGGGGGAGCGAACCGGAUUAGAUGCCCGGGUAGUCCCGGCUGUAAACGAUGCGGGCUAGCUGUUGGGCGGGCUUAGAGCCCGCCCAGUGGCGCAGGGAAGCCGUUAAGUCCGCCGCCUGGGGAGUACGGCCGCAAGGCUGAAACUUAAAGGAAUUGGCGGG
rnacentral:rRNA from 1 species